UACGUAGGUGGCGAGCGUUGUCCGGAUUUACUGGGCGUAAAGCGCGCGCAGGCGGACUGAUCAGUCUGGGGUGAAAUCUCACGGCUCAACUGUGAGCGGUCCCUGGAUACUGUCAGUCUUGAGAUGUCUAGAGGAGAGCGGAAUUCCCGGUGUAGUGGUGGAAUGCGUAGAUAUCGGGAAGAACACCAGUGGCGAAAGCGGCUCUCUGGGGACCAUCUGACGCUGAGGCGCGAAAGCGUGGGAAGCGAACCGG
rnacentral:rRNA from 1 species